ACACUGCUCAGCGCUGUCCAAGCUGGGAGGCUGAUGCAGAGGAAAAAGAAAGGAAACACAGUCCUUCCAGGGCCCUGAUGCCACCCUGCCCUGCCAAGUGGAGGGAAGUGUGAGACCAGCGCUCCUCAGAUUCCAGGUCUGAAGCUGUCUUGUCUCGGGAGGAAGCGCUCCUAAAGGCCUGGACUUGGAAGAGCCCCAGCACUUGCAGGGAUCAGGCACCCAGCGGGUCUGGAGGCAGCCAGGUGGUCUGCUGUGUGCCUAUCAAGUCAGCCUCCUGCAGCCCUGCCUCUGGCAGACCAAUGCCUCCCCUUUCACCUCAGAGCCCUCCUUCUUGGGGAAAAGGCAUCCCAAAGGGAGCAGGAAGGGAAAAAAUGAACAUAAAGUCCAACACGACCACCACUUUGCCUCCAGCACACAGGAAGUAGCUCCAGGAGAGCUGCAAUGCCCCCUUUCAUAGGAGCCCAGGUGCCAACCGGUCUUCUGGUCUCCGCACUCAGACUUCGAGAGCGCUACUACCCUACAGACCUCACUUGUUUUCGGUGUAAACUAAGCCUCACCACGAUGCAAAGGAGGCAGAACUGCGGUAGGAAUGGGACGGAGAUCCCAGAUCCCCACCCCCGCAGCAGCGUGGGGACUCCUGCCCCGCCCCUGCACGCCCGGCCCCGCCCCUCACGGGUUUCCCAGACUCCAGGCUGCUGCCACCGUGGGCGGCGGGGGACCCGCGCUGCAUGUGUAAUGGGGGCUGGGAACAAAGACGCGCAGGACCCGGCGGCCGGGUACCAGCAGCCCCGACCUUCUCGCCAGCGCCUCAAUGCCCAGCUCCCCACGCUUCCCAGGACUGGCCAAAAGACCGUCCUGGCGCGCCCGCCGGGUUUGGGGUACCCCAGCACCACUAGGAGAGGGAAAUUGGAGCUUGGGCCUUAGGAGAAAAAAAGCUUUCCAAGCGGAACUCCGCUUGUUUACGCCAGCACCCACACACCCCCAAGCACACAAGCGCUGGCCAAACACCUCCAACCCCACGCCCGUGGUCGCCGGCGAACUAAGUGCGCGGUCACCCACCCCGCCACGUGCCUCCCGAAGGCCCGAGCGAACAGGGACCUGUUGGUUUUCCAUCUUACCCCCUCUCCCCUCCCAAGUGCCUAAACAAAGCGGACCCGCGAAGCGACCACACUCCCCAACCCGGGCCAAAGGCAGGGAAAGAGGGAGCAGGUGGGAGCCAGCACCAACAGCCCGCCGGGCCGGGAACGCGACGCAGACUGGUGGUCUGGGAUGCAGGGGACUGCCUGGGCUGCGCGAAGCCGCCCCCUUCGCUUCACUACACUUAGUGACUCUGAGGGACGUGCAACCCUCCCCGCAUGCCGCUGCUGCUGCACCUACAAUCCUGCCGCCCCCAUGAGAUAUGCCCACCCGCUUGGCCGCCUUCCCCACACUCAGGUUUUCCUCACUCUCUCCCUGGGUUCGACGCGCCCGCGUAGCCUGAACUCCGACCCUGAGGCUCCGUGUCCCGGCCCCCAUCGCAGGGGCGCGUCUAGGAACCAGAACCCCGCAGAAUGAACAGACAAGAUCGUGCCCCCAAGACCUGCGAGCGGGGCACCCGGGAGCUGCGAGCUGAAUGCAGGUGGCGCGGCGACGAGGCCGCGGGCCCGCCCUUUGUUGGUCUGACCGCGCGGAGAACGGCAUGGUAAUCUGUGACCUGCAUGUACACCCCAGAGGAGUUCCUGGAAGAAACGAUCAACCCCUGCAGCGGGCGCCUAACUAACCUGAGACGUUCUUCUAUUGUUUCUGAUUCAGGCCUCAACUGACAAGGCCACUGGACUUUGUAACCCAGCUUGGCCAAACUCGUGACUCCAGACUCCACCACCCCCUCCCAGCUUUGCCAACUUCCUGACUCCACACCCUAGGACCCCCUUCCAGCUUGCAGAACACCACUAGCUGUAACUUCUGUAGCUCUCCGCUGCCCACCCCAAACGUGUAAAACCAACUCCUCUCCCACCGCCCCUCACUGAGGCCCUUUCAGCCUCAGCCCUCCUGCACCCAGGUGAAUAAACAACCAUUUUGCUCACACAAA